CCUACGGGAGGCAGCAGUGGGGAAUUUUGGACAAUGGGGGAAACCCUGAUCCAGCCAUCCCGCGUGUGCGAUGAAGGCCUUCGGGUUGUAAAGCACUUUUGUCAGGGAAGCGGUACCUGAAGAAUAAGCACCGGCUAACUACGUGCCAGCAGCCGCGGUAAUACGUAGGGUGCAAGCGUUAAUCGGAAUUACUGGGCGUAAAGCGUGCGCAGGCGGUUUGGAAAGAAAGAUGUGAAAUCCCAGGGCUCAACCUUGGAACGGCAUUUUUAACUACCAGACUAGAGUGUGUCAGAGGGAGGUGGAAUUCCGCGUGUAGCAGUGAAAUGCGUAGAUAUGCGGAGGAACACCGAUGGCGAAGGCAGCCUCCUGGGAUAAACUGACGCUCAUGCACGAAAGCGUGGGGAGCAAACAGGAUUAGAUACCCUUGUAGUC
rnacentral:rRNA from 1 species